rnacentral:rRNA from 1 species
GAUGAACGCUGGCGGCGUGCCUAAUACAUGCAAGUCGAGCGAACGGACGAGAAGCUUGCUUCUCUGAUGUUAGCGGCGGGCGGGUGAGUAACACGUGGAUAACCUACCUAUAAGACUGGGAUAACUUCGGGAAACCGGAGCUAAUACCGGAUAAUAUUUUGAACCGCAUGGUUCAAAAGUGAAAGACGGUCUUGCUGUCACUUAUAGAUGGAUCCGCGCUGCAUUAGCUAGUUGGUAAGGUAACGGCUUACCAAGGCAACGAUGCAUAGCCGACCUGAGAGGGUGAUCGGCUACACUGGAACUGAGACACGGUCCAGACUCCUACGGGAGGCAGCAGUAGGGAAUCUUCCGCAAUGGGCGAAAGCCUGACGGAGCAACGCCGCGUGAGUGAUGAAGGUCUUCGGAUCGUAAAACUCUGUUAUUAGGGAAGAACAUAUGUGUAAGUAACUGUGCACAUCUUGACGGUACCUAAUCAGAAAGCCACGGCUAACUACGUG